rnacentral:rRNA from 1 species
UACAGAGGUGGCAAGCGUUGUUCGGAAUUACUGGGCGUAAAGGGCGCGUAGGCGGCCAUCUAAGUCAGACGUGAAAUCCCCCGGCUUAACCUGGGAACUGCGUCUGAUACUGGAAGGCUUGAGUAUGGGAGAGGGAUGUAGAAUUCCAGGUGUAGCGGUGAAAUGCGUAGAUAUCUGGAGGAAUACCGGUGGCGAAGGCGGGUCUCUGGGCCGAUACUGACGCUGAGGAGCGAAAGCGUGGGGAGCGAACAGG